AUUGAACGCUGGCGGCAUGCCUUACACAUGCAAGUCGAACGGUAACAGGUCUUCGGAUGCUGACGAGUGGCGAACGGGUGAGUAAUACAUCGGAACGUGCCCGAUCGUGGGGGAUAACGAAGCGAAAGCUUUGCUAAUACCGCAUAAGAUCCAAGGAUGAAAGCAGGGGACCGCAAGGCCUUGCGUGAACGGAGCGGCCGAUGGCAGAUUAGGUAGUUGGUGGGAUAAAAGCUUACCAAGCCGACGAUCUGUAGCUGGUCUGAGAGGACGACCAGCCACACUGGGACUGAGACACGGCCCAGACUCCUGCGGGAGGCAGCAGUGGGGAAUUUUGGACAAUGGGCGAAAGCCUGAUCCAGCCAUGCCGCGUGCAGGAUGAAGGCCUUCGGGUUGUAAACUGCUUUUGUACGGAACGAAAAGACUCUGGUUAAUACCUGGGGUCCAUGACGGUACCGUAAGAAUAAGCACCGGCUAACUACGUGCCAGCCGCCGCCGUAAUAC
rnacentral:rRNA from 1 species